CCCCUAAUUUCGGCCUCUAGGGUUUUUUUCUUCUUUCAUCCGCAUACCUUCUUCACGCAAACCUACCUCUAAAUCAACCCAGCCACCGCCAUUCAUGUAGUGGGCAAAUGGUUUCCUUCACUCUUCCCCUCUUUACCUCUAUAUCUGUGAAAUCCAUUCUUGAAACCCCUCCUCAAACCUUCCUUUCCUAAACAAUUGAAAGCACCAAGUAUUUAUUUUAAAUGUGGUAUAAAAAGCAUGAUUUGAGAUUAAACAUUUUGAUUUAAUUGCCUUGUAUUUGUAUGAAGUUGGGUUUGCUCUGAAACUAUGUAACAAAGCUGAUUUAAAUUGUGUUUUAUAUUGUUGAGUUCAAACCAGUGUCUGGGCUUUCAAAACUUUAUAAUAAGUCAAAGACAAGCUCAACUUAGAAAAAUGUUGUUCCAUGCCAAUUUGCUUCACAUUGGUUGCCUGUAAUCGAUUAAAAAUGGAUUGAUAUUUAUCUUGCUUUGUGGUUUUUUAGAUGGUGUUGAUUGGAGAUGAAUAACGUCUACCAACUAAAAGUAAAAAAAUAUCAAACUGGUUGUGUCAUUUUUUCCCCAUUUUCUAAACAUUGAAAAUUAGGCCGAAGCUAAACUGGCUGUGCCAUUUAGCAUCAUGAGGCUUAGACCUUGAGAACUGAUAUGAUUUAAUUGAAACUGAUUUUUUAUGCUUCCACACCUAUAUAAGCAUUUCGGGCUCUUCAGUUAUGGACGGCUCCUCUGUAGUGCAACAGAGCUCCAAUCAAGACCCAAGCUCCCAACAGGUGCCACAAAGUCAGCAGCAGCGAGGGGCUUCCAGUGCUACAUCGUUGCCCACGUCAAGAAUGGGCCAAGUUUCACUUCCCCUCGGCCCACAUGUCCCUGGCUCUUUCAUACAGGAUCCCAAUAAUAUAGCCCAGCUGCAGAAAAAACCCCGAUUGGAUAUCAAGCAGGAAGACAUUAUGCAACAGCAGGUUCUGCAACAACCAUUGCAGCGACAGGAAUCCAUGCAAUUACAAACCCACAAUCCUCAGUUGCAAGCUUUAAUUCAGUAGCAGAGAAUGCAACAACAGCGGCAACAGUUUCUGCAGUCUAUACCACCAGUGCAGCGAGCCCACAUACUGCAACAGUAGCAACAGCAGCAAUAGCAGCAGCAGCAGCUACAGCAGCAGCAACAGAUGCAGUUGAGACAACAACUUCAACAACAGGGUAUACAACCUAUGUCUUCCAUAAAGCGACCCAAUGAUAAUGGUGUAUGUUCUCGUCGACUAAUGCAAUAUUUAUAUCAUCAGCGGCAACGACCCCCUACCCAUACUAUUGCCUACUGGAGGAAGUUUGUCGCAGAGUACUACUCCCCGCGUGCAAAGAAAAGAUGGUGCUUGUCAUUAUAUGAUAAUGUUGGUCAUCAUUCACUAGGUGUUUACCCCCAGGCAACCAUGAUUGGAAAAAUUGGGACCUUUAGAGUGGGACAAGGUAGUACAUGGACAUGAAGCAUGGAGACUUAUCACUUGUAUCUGGUUGCAUGCUGGUGUUAUUCAUCUGCUAGCAAACAUGUUGAGCUUGGUAUUUAAAUGUGAAGUUUCUUAUUCCCUAAUGCUUUUCAAUUGUUAGAUUCUUGGUCUCAAUUCCCAGCAGAGCAAUAUGCUGGGUUCCAAUUCCCAACUUAGGGAGAUGAUGCAAAACCCAGAAUUCAUUCGUCAAUUGACUUCUCCUGAAACAAUGCAGCAACUCAUGACUUUACAGCAAACUCUUUUGUCUCAGCUUGGUCGGCAACCAUCAACCCAGGAAGCAGGUCAAACCGGUGGGGGAACCUGUGCUUUUCUCUAGAAGAAUUUACUCUUUGGCUUCACUUGUGAUACCUCCAAUAGACUUAAUGCUAUUGUUUUGUUGUAUAUUUUAAAUGUUGUACAGUGGAGCUCAUCAUUUAUGAUAGCACCCUGUCUUGCCACAUCUAUAUCAAGUUUUUAACAUUCUUGGUUGCAAUCAAUGAGAGGGAACUUGUCAAUGGUUAGUUCUACAAUAGGGAACUCCAAAAGAGUCUCGAGGACUGUUGGUGUGGUAAUCUUUUGAUGUUACCCCCUGACCCAUAAAAAUUACUUUCCCAGGUAAAUAAAAGAAAAGGAAAAUAAAAUAAAAUAAACAAGCCGAAGGAAGAAGACAUUAUAUGAAAAAAAUUCUUUCAUUUUUUAAAAAUUGUUGUAUGUUAUUUUAUCUCACUGUGGGUGUGCUACUUUUCUUCCAAUAGCAGGAACACUUGACAACAUGGGAUUGGAGAUGUUGAUGAAUAUGUUUGGGGGUCUUGGGAUUGGAAGCCCUGCCGUUCCUGUCAGAUCAGAUGUGCCCCCGGAAGAACUGUAUGCCACUCAGCUCUCACAGCUACAAGAAUGGGCUUCUUUGAUACCCGAGAGAAUAUACAGGCACUGAUAGCCAUUGCAGGGAAUGUUCAUGCUGCAGUGGAGCGGCUUUUGGGGAACCCCGGUACAAAAUUAUAAUGGAUGAUUCAUGUUUUUCUACUUCGAAAUCUUCAUUGACAGUGUGCCACAAUCUAGCAGAAGUAGCAAAAGCACAAUUUUCACGUAAUUACAGUGAUAACCUUGCUCUUGUCCGGGCUUAUGAGGCCUGGAAAGAAGCUGAAAGAGACGUAGCUGGAUAUGAAUACUGUUGGAAGAAUUUUCUUUUUGCUCAAUCAAUGAAAGCUAUUGAUGCUCUGUGAAGGGAGUUCUACUCUUUACUUAAGGAAUAUGUUUUAAAUUUUAAUGCUAAGUGGAUGUGAAUUGGAUGAUUAUAUAGAUUACAAGCGGAUUUUUAAUUGAAUGAAUAUGUAGGUUGGAAUUA